UAUCAUGAUGAACAAGAGCAAUUAGCUCGACAUAAUCCCAGCUCUUCGACAGCAGACUCGUUUGACAUCUCACGUUUGAGACUGUUAUGAGAGAAAGUCCAACCCUGAAGC
rnacentral:snoRNA from 1 species